GCGUGGGAGACUGCUAGGUUGUAAUCUUAGGGUAGAAGUCUAGAAUAGCACCGGUAACUCUGCCACGCCCGUACAGGUGCAGCUUACCGGAUUUAUUGGGUUUACCGUAGGUAUAAGUCGGUGAAAGCCUUCCUACGAAAAUGCACUGAGCUGAGUAUGAGGUCUGGAAUAGGUGUACGGUAAAUGCAUAAUAUCUUAAACACCAUGCAAGGUCCAACGUGGGGAGCGAACAGGAUUAGAUACCCUGGUAGUCCACGCCGUAACGAUGAACUCGUUUUAGCAAGAAAGUGAUAAGUCACCUGGGGUCGCUCGCAAGAGAAAAAGGAUGACGGGCGCAAGCGGUGGAUGGGUUAAUUCAUCAGAACUCGCUAAAGUACGGUGAUGC
rnacentral:rRNA from 1 species